AGAGUUUGAUCCUGGCUCAGGGUGAACGCUGGCGGCGUGCCUAAUGCAUGCAAGUCGGACGGGAGCGCGUGGUGAGCGCGCCGACCGUGGCGGACGGGUGCGUAACACGUGGGGAACCUGCCCGGGUGCGGGGGAUAACCCGGGGAAACUCGGGCUAAUACCCCAUACGCUCGCUGGGCGGUGGGUCUAGCGAGGAAAGGCCAGGCGGUGAGUCUGGCUGCGCUCGGAGGGCCCUGCGGCCUAUCAGCUAGACGGUAGGGUAACGGCCUACCGUGGCGAUGACGGGUAGCUGGUCUGAGAGGACGGCCAGCCACACGGGCACUGAGACACGGGCCCCACUCCUACGGGAGGCAGCAGCAGGGAAUCUUCCGCAAUGGGGGCAACCCUGACGGAGCGACGCCGCGUGCGGGAGGAAGCCCUUCGGGGUGUAAACCGCUGUUCGGGGGGACGAAGGGGGUGACGGUACCCCCGGAGCAAGUCCCGGCUAACUACGUGCCAGCAGCCGCGGUAAGACGUAGGGGGCGAGCGUUACCCGGAGUCACUGGGCGUAAAGGGCGUGUAGGCGGCUGGGCGCGCCGCGUGUGAAAGCCCGCGGCUCAACCGCGGGGGGUCGCGCGGGACGGCCUGGCUUGAGGGCGGGAGAGGCGGGUGGAAUUCCCGGUGUAGCGGUGAAAUGCGUAGAGAUCGGGAGGAACACCGGUGGCGAAGGCGGCCCGCUGGCCCGUACCUGACGCUGAGGCGCGAAGGCGUGGGGAGCGAACCGGAUUAGAUACCCGGGUAGUCCACGCAGUAAACGAUGCGGGCGAGGUGUGGGUGGCGUUGACCCCAUCCGUGCCGGCGCCAACGCAGUAAGCCCGCCGCCUGGGGAGUACGGCCGCAAGGCUAAAACUCAAAGGAAUUGACGGGGGCCCG
rnacentral:rRNA from 1 species